rnacentral:lncRNA from 1 species
UCUAUAACUUUCCAUAGAAACAUUUCUAUGCUGUAGGUAAACGAAAAUCCUGUUUCUUUUCAAAGUUUGCUGAUAAAGGCCUUCGUUCCAUCCCGAGUUUGACGAGACCUCUUUCAACAAUAUCAAAGAACGUAUUCAAAGAUGCAGACUUGAGUCAUCUUAGAAUCCGGCUUACAAAAUAUACUAAGGUUUUCCUUUCCCAUUACUUUAUCCCUGUUUUCUGUAAGCAUCCUGAGUGGAAUCUUGUGUUGUUAUCCUAUUCAAUUUUUGAUUGUGUGGUUCAUUGUAUUCAGAUUUUAUAUACACUUGUUAAUUGAUGUAUAGUUAGUGGUCUAUCUUGUACUUACCUGGGGGCCCUCUGAUGGCACUCCUUAUAUGGAACAGAUAUCAUAUAUGUGGUAGUGAGAUGGGUGACAAAUAAACACGACAUUUGUGGUUUUAUGCAGCGGUUAUUAGACCAGUUGUACUUUAUGGAACUGACUGUUGUGCAACUAAAAGAUAAUUUUCACGAGUAUUAGAGUCUGUUUCCGGAUAAUUAGUUUAUUACCUUGUAUAGGCUAGCUAUCACACAAAAUCGGGAUUAAUUCCCAUUGUAUAUUUUCCUUAUAUAGCUUUGUACCAUCCUAUAAAUUAAAAGGCAAUACACAAUAGAGAGGAUUCAGCAAAAUCUGUCAAUGAGAUGAAUGAAAUACAAAUGAUGAUGUGAGAAGGAUGUGUGGCUAUAUUAGAAUAAAUAAAAAAAGAAAUAAUGGUAUGGUCCAACAAAGGAGGUAGGGCUAAUUGAAAACAAAGUAAAUAAGUAAUGGAAUAACGACUUAGAUGGUUGGGCAUGUUUAUGUUUAGUAUAAGCCUAAAUAAGUCUUCAUUUACAAAAGUAAUUCAGUUUGUGUAGAAUGUGCUAGAAGAGGGAGCCAUAGACCAAAAUUAACUCGGACUAAUAUGAAAGAUUUGAUAUCAUUGAGCCUUAGACCAAAAUUAACUUGAACUAAUAUGAAAGAUUUGAUUUUAUUAGACCUCUUAUAAGAUGCAUUGCUGGAUCAAAUAGUGACAAAAUGAUUCGCGUAUUGACACAAGGUAGUUGGAAAUAAGACCUCUUCUAGCUUCCUGAUGUCCUUUUACUCAUUUCUCUUCUGUAAGCUGCCUUUAUACAAUUCUGGGGACCUUAAUGUUGAUCUCUUCUCGUUGGUGUCUUGGAGAUACUAUGGAGUAAGCUUAUCAAGACCUGUUUUGCAACCGGCUUUAGGAAUAUGCUCAUGCAAGAUUCUUUCUCCCAAAUCAGUGGCAUUUGAAAGCCAAAGGGUUGAUAGAUUCUUGUGGAGUUUUAAAGAGUGGUGUUCAUGUCAUUUAUUUCUUGGAGAUGCUUUUUUCAGGAACGGGUGAUUGAUUUUUGACCUUUCUGAAUUAGAAUAGUUUCCUGAAAUGUUUGCUCUCAUAACAUGAUCUCCCUGUGAUAUGGUUUGGUUAGUGGAUCUUAAUCUUACUAGUCCGUGUUGUCAAUUGUGAGGAACGUAUUCACCAUGGGACAUUCAUGAAUACUUCAAUCUCCUAGUGAUAUUGUUUGAUGGCUGACUCCAAAUGCAUGCAGUGAAGUUAGGCUAGUAUUUUAGUUUCUCACAAAUUUCCUCAAGGUCCACCGUGGAAUUUGUAAUGCACAUGCUUUAUGUUUUACAGGUCAUUUUAGUCCAUGAAGCACAAGGUUAUAUAGCUUAGGUGGUUUGGUCUGCUUAAAACGGGAUUUUAGCCUUGGGAGACAUCAAUUGAACAUGAAUUCUAUCUACUUCCAGUUAUGUUUGUUGUGUUUAAUGCGCUUUUUUGGGGGGGGCGGGGGGGAGGGGUUGAAACUUGCAUUGUUUAGGACAAUGGAUGCCGCUGUAUGAAGUUUUGGAUUAAAUAGUUCGUUUCACUUUAAGAGAGCAGUUAUCUGACUCUAAUUGAAUUUCCUGAACCACUAGAAUAGUGUAGUAACAUGUUCAUAUUUCCAUUACUUGCUAGAAGUUUAUGGACAGAAUGGUGUCAGCUUAAUCAUUUUUUGGGUGUUUGCUAUUGAUUUGAAGGAAAUUUGGUUAAAGACGCUUGUUUAAGAAAGUACGUCUUUGUUGUACUCACAAAUUAGCCUGGAACUUAGCAUUCAUAAGUUACACUGAUAAUUAAAAGAGAGAAAUACUCACUGAUGCAUUUGAUGUGUGCAUUUUUCAUGUAAUGCACAAAUUGAUCACAAGUGUUAAAAAUUUAAUGUAAAUGCAUAGAGCCAGCACAUUCAAGUAGUCUUGCAGUGCUAAAUUAGAUAAAAAAUAUCCGUAUUGAUUUUCUGAAAUUUUACUUUUUGAAGCACGUGCUUCUAAACUAUUCUUCCCCAUUAAUUUGUGCAGAGAGUGGAUCUUUCCAGCUGCCCACAGUUCACACCAUCACUUGUUCUCCUGUCGAUGCUUCCUUUUUCAUGCUAUGCAGGUCACAUGCUAGAAAAGAGCAUUAAGGAAUCUUUAAUUAACCGUGUGCGUCUAAAAGAGGACGCCUUUCACGUAUCACAAGCAUUGGGGCUAAUGUUGACUUUUAUUGAAGUAGAAGAGGUGGAUAUUUCAAAUUGUCCAAUGCUACAUCUUGAGGCUGCCAUUGAGUGCUUCUGCAAGUUCCCAUCAUUAAGAAAAUUAAAGGCAGCUUACUCUUUAGACUUCAAAACAAAGAUGAUGUGUCAAUUGGUACAAAAGUGCCCACUACUCUCUGACAUUGACCUAACUGUGGAUGUUACUCCUGUUAUACCUGGACGCGUGUCAAUUGUAUCUUCCUGGCCGGCCUUGCCACAAAGAUCUACAACAUAUUUCAACCUUGAUAAUUGUUAUUCUGCUGCCUCUUUUUCAUAUAUGUCGAGGCCAUUCCUCUCAAAUAUCACGAAACUCACGUUGGAAGGCCGAACCGACAUCAGAGGUAACUCUUUUUUUGAGGGGGGGGGGGGGGGGACAGGGAGAGAGAGAGAGAGAGAGAGAGAGAGAGUGUGUGUUCCCUCCACACUGCAGUCCCACCCCAAAGAACAAUGAACCAUGAUGCAUAUUUGUAUGUAUACAUAUAGGUGUAUCCUAGUCUCCUUUGCAUCCGAUGUCAUUAUUUUCACCUUUUUGGAAAUUCUUUUGGUUGCUUAAAAAUUAAGACAUUCAAUUUCAAUACAUAAAAGAAUUGGAUCUUAAGAGAUUCUCAUGCAAAGGGUGCCAGCUAGGAUUAUUUUGCUUUGAUCAAGAGUGUGUGUACCUACUACCCACCAUUCAUUGAACAUUAACUAGGUAGAUGGUCGUAGAUGUGGCUUGCUGCAUAUUUUUAGGUUGGAAAUCAUCUGUUACCGAACUGUUGAUGUAAGGGAAGAAGUCUGUUUGCUGUUUUCUUUCAUCUAUGCACUUCAAUGUGUAGCAUGUCCUCCACAGGUGUAAAUCAACAAAAUGAAAGAGAAAAAUGCAUAGACAAUAUAACAAGGAUGCGUCUUGUAAGUUCUUUCAGAAUAUCAAACAUAGGAGAUUGCAUUGCUAAAAAGCUCGUUUUCAAAUAGCAAAGAUAACUAAUGCUACUAUGGCAAUUGUAGUUGUGGAAAAAAGAAGCAAGUGGUGUUAUGGAAAUAUGUUAAUAUACGAAAGGUCAUACAGAAUUUUAACAUGGUAAAGAUUGGGCCUUCUUUGAUUAUAUAAGCUAAAACAAUAUUUAAAAAAUGUUUUGAGGCUGCACCUGGAGUCCUGCCUAACAUGAGGCUCUCUUUAAAAGCAUCAAAGCUCAUGCCUUGACUUAGUGAGGCUUACGCCUUAAGAAAAGCACCAUGCAACUUCAUAGUUGAAAACCUUUCAGAUGGCAGGAUCAAAGCCAAUCUUACAAGCAUACCAAUGGACAUAUAAUCCCUUUGCUGCUAACUUCCAAGCUAAUUCCACUAAUUCCUUUCGUUUCGAAAAACUCCUCAUCCAACAAAAGCAAAUUUAGUUCUCAAAUUGAUUAUCAAGUGCUAAGAGAUCCACUAUAGAACAGGCUGACGGAUAAAACUUAACCAAAUAAAACUGUUCGUCGAAAGAGUAAAAUCAAUUGUUUGGACUUGAGUAAGCUACAAAAAUAAGUAACUCCAUAUUCACCAUUGUAAAAUGAUUAUCAAGUUCUUGAAGUUGCAUCUCCACAAUCUGUUGAAUGUUUCUACAGGAUAACGGUUUAAAUUUUUGGUUUGUGCUAUAUAUCGUGCCUUAGGCUUUAAAGAUAUGAUCCAUGUUGGGAAUAGGAUGCUCUAUUUCUUCUUAUUAUCUGCAAUCUUUAUUGGCAUAUUUUAAGUAAUAGCAUUUAUGUAUCUUGAUCUUUUGCUAGCAAGAGCUUUUACAACUCAUUAUUACGCCUUAUUUUUAUCAGUAUAUGGGGGCUUCUAUGCGUUUCUUUUAAUUGGCCGGCCUUGUAAAAUUGAACUAUUUUUUGUUGGUUCAACAGAUUCUGAUCUCCAUGACAUCUCAGAGUUCUGUGCUUCCUUGUGCUACCUUAACCUUAACGGGUGUACUUCAUUGACGGACAAUGGUUUAUCAGUAAUAAUUCUGAAAUGUAAAAAACUACACUCAGUUUUGGUGUGUGAUACUUCUUUUGGGAAUAAUUCAAUUCUGGCACUUUGCUAUGGGAUUUCUGUUGCGGAAUCCAAAAGAGGAAACUACUCUCACACGACGGCUUCGAAGUGUCAAACCCUGCAUAUUGGUGGCUGCAAUGGUGAGCAACAUUUCCUUUGUCCACUCUCACCCUCUUUUAUUUUCAGUAUUCCAGGAAAGUAAAGAGAAAUUCAAUUUUCAAAAGUUUUUUAUGUCAGUAUGUGUCAGAAGUUUUUCUGAUGGAAAUGUGUUUUUUUUAUAAAGUCUUUCAUAAUAUCAGAGUGAGCAUGAUUUUAUAUUUGGUUCACUUGAGUAUUUUUGAGACUUUUUCCUCAUUUGAGUAUAAUCUCAAUUGAUGUGUCUGCCAGUAUCUUUGAUGGUAUACACAAUCAAAUAUGUAUAGCUAACAGCUGGAAUACAUUAUAGUACACACGCAUCAAAUAUGUUUAACUUAAUCUUGUGAAUGUCAUAUAUACAAUUUAUUCUCAACACUAUCCACUUCUUCCCUUCUUUGGCAGGGAUAAAUGAAACAGCUUUGUCAGAGCUUCUCUCUGGAGCAAAUAAUUUGACGAGUCUGUGUUUGCGGGAGAUUCAACUUGAUGACAAUGCUCUUUAUUGUUUUUCAGGAUCCUCCUUGGAGAUGCUUGAUAUUUCUGAUACAAAGGUGCAGAGGCAGUCUAAAGGGAAAUUUUGUUUGUUUCUAGAAAGGAUUCCUCUAAAACCAUUCACUUUUUAUCAUGGAAUUCAUAUAAAUCACUUUACCUAAGAUCUCUUAUGAAUGCGGCAACUGGAAACUUGAACUGAACAUUGCAUAUAGAGUUUGAACUUCUGUUUUCACAACCUGCUUUCACCCGUCAAACCUAAGUCUGAAUAUCUGAAAAUCUUUAAAGCUUUUUGGGCUAGGCUAACUGAAAAACUGGGCUGCUAGAUCUUGUUUUUUGGAAGUUGACAGUUAACCUUUCAAAAGAUAUGUAUAUUUGUCAGAUACAUAAUUUUUCUGCAUGAGUUGCAAGAACUUCACGGUGGUUCAUUAGUUUCAUAUCAAUACCCAUCUGGAAUUGCAUGCAUCUGUCAAUUUCUUGAUGCCAUCUCUUUUAAGAGAGUACCCGUGUGUAAAUUGAGUCCUGAACUCGAGACUCGAAGCUUCGUGGGUUAGACUAUUUUUAUUUCCCACUUGCACGGUCUUGCAAGGAUAAGUUACGAAGGUUGUGCACUUGGCUUAAUCCCCAUGUUCAGGAAUUAGUUAUUAGCAAUGCAUGACAGACCUCUAUUAUACUUCGAUUGGGAUGUGAUAGCACGACGGAUGCAUAUGCUUGGUGGUGUCUUGCUCUAUUUCUUCAUCAAGUUUAAAAGAAAGAAUAUUUGUCUUUACUGUUUACUUUUGUCUUGUUAGAACCAAUCUUGAGUUGUACUGAAUAAAUAAAAUGUAUCAAGCUAACCCAUAAAUAAUGUGCUUGUGAUAUUUCAGGUUUCUGCUGCUGCUUUGGCUCAUGUGAUUUAUAGAAAUCCCGAUCUAAAAUGUUUGAAAGCAAGAGGCUGUAGGCAUUUGCUAGUAAAGGAAAGUAAGACGGAAGAGAGAAACUUGCCUGCUUUAUUGCGUACUCCAAAAGAGUGGUACUCUGAGCUUGGCAAGUCCUGCAAAUUGGACGAGAUUCAACUUGGAUGGGGUUUUUCAUCUCUUUAUAUGGAAGCACUUAAACCGGCAUUUAGAACAUUAAGAACGGUAGUUGUUGGUUUAGGUGGAUCCUUGGGCCAAGAUGGGCUGAAGCAGUUAUCAGAUAUCUGUCCUUUGAUUGAGACCAUGGUUCUAUAUUUUCAGGUAAUGAUUGUUUAGGAGAUAUAAUUAAUGUCAUCCGUAGCAAAUUAUCCGAUCAUCAUAAUUGAUGAGUGUUGAUUGCAAGCUUUGCAUAAAAUGUUCAAGAUUUAGGUUGUAUAUUUUCUCUUGACCAGCAAGAGUGAGACAACAGUGGAACUAAAACGGUAUAAGAAUAGAAAUAUUAUACUCAUAGGAACUAGGUCUUGGCAUUUUCUAGUUUGCUCAUUGGUACUCUCUCUCUCUCUCUCAUAAUUCUUUUAUCUCCCAGCAGCAAAAGGCAACUAUCAUUGAACAUCACUUAUCAGUUAAAACCUCUCACGUGAACCAUAUGUUUCUGAUGAAGUUGGAAGCUUUGGUGAUCUCCUGAUCACUAGAGUACAAUUUAUGGAGCUUUUUCGGUGAUCGUUUUUAGUUAUAUGAUAUACUAACUGAUGCUUGAAGCCAUGCACUAAUACAUUGUCUGAUGUUAACAGGUGAUAACUGAUUCUACUAUAAUGCAUGUUAUGAAAACCUUGUUGCAGUUGCAAGUCUUGGCUCUAUCCUAUUGCAUUGGUGAGAUUUCAUCAUUAAGCUUUAAGUUCUUGAUGCCGAAUCUGAAGAACCUGAAACUUGAAAGAGUAACACCAUGGAUGUCAAAUGAAGAUUUGGUUAAUCUGACACAGAAUUGCCCCAAGUUAGUCAAGCUUUCAUUGACAGGGUGCACAAUGCUUAAUUCAGGCGAGUAAUUUCUACCUGAUAACCAGUCUGUAGAAAUUUCAAUGACACUAAAUGCAAUUUUCAUGCAGUGUGACUCUAAUAAGAAUUCUUAUGCUCUGAGUUUCAUAAGCUGCUGUAUAAUCGAGAAUUAAUACUCGUAUAUCAUUUUUUAUUAUAUACAUGCAUCCUUUUGUCUGGGGAUGACUGAGUGAAGUGAUUUGAAUACUGGCUAAAAUAAUAAUAAAAACUUUUCCUUUCCCUUGUUAUGUUCUUUUCAGAAUCCCAAGAUAUUAUUUCAAGUGGUUGGCCAGGGUUGAUAUCCAUUCAUCUUGAGGUUUGCUGUCACCAUUUUCUCUUGGGAUGCCUUUUUAUUAUUUUUUUAAAAAGAUAUGUAGAUCUUACAUUUGCUACCAACUUUGCAAGAGGAGGAUAAAGACUGAAAUACUAUUAUCUGAUAGUAAAUUUGCUAUUACUUUUUUUGUUUUUGCAUACACCUAAGCAGAUGACCUAAACAAUAUUAACAGUUUUGUGUAACCCAAUUCCUGACUAAGGGCAGAUUUUCGACCCCUUUUUUUUUUUCCCUUAUUUUUGCAACCUCUUGCUACAUCUCUAAAAUUUUCUUCUAUACCUGUGAUUCACCCAAUUUUAUUGAGUGUAGAGGAUGGACAAAGUAGCAAUUAAAAAUUAAAACUUGUCUAAACUUGAGGGGCAUGUUGAAGACAACAUUAAAUGAUAUAAAUUGUGUCCUUAUCUAAUAGCUUAAGCAUUUAGAUCAAGCCGUUUAACAUGGUGUCACAUCAAGCAAAGGUCAGUCAAGUCUCGGCUCUGUCCAUUUAAAUGAAUUGUCCACAUGUUAAGUUUUGAUGGACGUGUUGUCGAUGGUAUUUGAAUGAUAUAAAUAUGCCCUAUCUAACAAUUUAAGCUAUUAGAUCAAGUGGUUCAACAAUAAUGAUUGCUGCUGUUAUUUUCCAAUUAGAUUCACCACCUUUCAUAAAGAGAAGUUUUCUAACCUCUUUCAAAAUUCCAAAAUGUGAAAGAAGAACUGUUUUAUAAGUUCAAAAUCAACAAAGAAUUUAAAGUUUUCUGAACAUGCAUGUGAGGGUCUUCAAUUACAAGAGAAGUUCACAGGGAGAGGUGGUCCAUAAUUUGAUCAAGAACGAACCAUUUUUGAUAUGUGCCAGUCCUCUUGCUAGUGAGCACUCAUGUACCAUUAAAGAUUAAGAAGCAAAAUGGAUCAAAGGAAAGAGGAGGUAACAAAGUUAAAAUCAUGAAGUUGGUAAGAAGCAAAAGGGAAGAAAUUACUGCCUGAAGUUGGCCUUGGGCCUUCUUUGAAUCUGAAUUAUAUAAUUCUUUUUUCAUUUAGGGAAUAGAAUCCUUCCUUGAAAGUCAUUUUGAGUUCCCCCAAAGGAUUUCUCCAGUUGUCAAUUACUAUAACUUGCACAAACAGCAAACAGGCAUUCUCUUUGUUGGCCACUAUAUACAUCUACAGGGUACUUUAUCCCCUGAAGUUGGCAUUUGGUAUGCAAGAGCAUAUGCACAGUAUAGGAAUGGACUUGUGAAAUGAAUGAAGAUGGGAAUGAAAUGCAAUAGACAUGGGAUAUCUCAUGUUUGGUUUGUCUAGGAAUAAGAACAGCAAUGGGAUCAGGUUCCACAUUUUUGAUUUCUUAUAUUUGGUCUGUUAUGAAGCAUGGUAAUGAAAUACAGAUUGUGAAAUGGCUAUGCAUACCUUACUGAAAUUUUAUAUUUUAAGCAUUAAUUCAUGUAAUUGGGAAAAUAAUGUCACAUGUCAGAAUUUGAAAACACGUUGCAUUCCAGAUUAUCUAGAUGCUUACGCUGGAUGGAAUGCCAUGAGCCUACUCGAUAUCUUCCUUGCCUGCUUCACUAGAGGGGGAAAAAAUAGGGAGAGGAAGAUAAAUAUUUUUGAAUCUUUCUUCUGUCAAUGGUUGAACCUUCUUGCCCAUGCUUCUACAAGAAGAAGAAGAGAAGCCUAAUCAGACACUAAACUACAGUUACCUUACUGAAGACUCAAAAGAAAAAAUUGAAGAUUAGAUUUUUGAGACAUCUGAAGAUCAAAUUUGCAGAUUCAAUGCUUAAUUCCAUGGUUCUUGAGUUCAUGCUCUCUCAUAUUUUAAUAAUAUCUUCUUGGUGGUUAUUUUACAUGUUCUUUCUAUUGAGAAUGUUUAUACGAGUGUAGUUCAUCUUCUAAGUUGCUUUCUCACUAUCAUAAAUUCAAUGUCUUUUAUGGAAUUUACACCAACAUUAAGGAGGAGGAGCCAAAUCGAUAGAAAUUAAAACCUGAAAUUGGGAAGAGAUGCAAAAGUUUGGCGGUGUUGAAAUUUGUUAAAAAACGGGGGUUCCAUUUUUGUGAAAGAGACCAUAAUUAUAAACCCCACCAAAAUGAGAGCAGUAUCUACGAUAUAGGAUGAAGUGAAUAUAAAUAUUAUUUCAUUCAUUUGAUUGAUGUAUUUCAUCAUCAGUUCUUAUCCUUUUCGGUAUCUUUGUAACAGCGCAUGUUAUUUGUUGUUUAGGACUGUGGAGAAGUAACAACCAAUGACGUUGUAUCUCUUCUGGACUGUCAUGCCCUUGAAGAUCUUAUGCUACGUCACACUGUGAGUCUUCAACACUGGUUUUUUCUCAUGUGGUGUGGCUUGUUUUAACUUUUGGAGGCUAGAUAAUUAACUUAAUUCUAAUUAGGGGUGGUUGCAAUCUGAUCCUAUUAUCCUUCAUUAUAGUUACCAACUGGUUCUCUGCAAAAGAUGAUGAAUUUGAACUUUCCCGUUUUUGCCUCCUUCGGUUUCUUUUUCUUUUUCCUUCAAACAAAAUGAAUAAUUGGACAGCAAAUGUACGACCCGAAGAAAUUACAAGACAAAAUACUUCAUGUUUCCUGUUUCCUGUCCUCCUAGUAUUAUGUGGCAUAUAUUAGGGAUGAACUUUUUGGUUGGUAUAACCUGAGAUCUCAAUCUAGGUAGCAUUCCUUUGACAAGGUACAUAAUGUUUGGAUUUAUAUAUUAGGCAAUCUUUAGUAUCGCAUAAUAGAUGAUAUAUAAGCACAAGAUUGUGAUGAAGACUACCAAUUGCUUGGACUUCGAUUCAGAGUAUGACAGAGAUAAUACAAAAUAUCCCUUUCUUUUCCUCUUCAACCCCUUAACUCCAACCCUAUCACACCCACAACACAGACAUCAAACUGCAAGGUAUAUACAUUAUACUAGUCCUAAUAAUAUAUCGGCACCUAAAAACACUGAACUGUUUUCAAUUUUGUGAAGUUCCAUUCAAUUAUUAUGAUCUCACUAGACAUUUCAUCAAACACUAAUUUCGAAUUCUUGGUCUACCUACAAAAUUCGAAGCUUUAUUUUUGUGAACUAGCAACUUGCUGAUUCUGGAGUGAAUUGUGCUUUAAAUAUUUAGGGCCCUGGAAUUACGAGAAAUUUCAUCAUUUAUGCUGCUUACAAGGUAAUUAUGGCUGCUCACAUGGAAUUACCGUAUUUGGACAUUGUUUUUUCUCAAAUUGUUUGAAGUUCCCCGUUUUAUUGUGUAUUUUUGGUGCCUGCAGUUAC